rnacentral:rRNA from 1 species
AGUGAACGCUGGCGGCAGGCCUAACACAUGCAAGUCGAACGGCUGCACAGUGCUUGCUUCUUCUUUCAGCUGCCGACUGGUGAGUGAUUCCUAAGUACCUCCCUGUCUACUUUUUCUUACGUCCUAACAUGGGCGCUCUUACCCCAUUCCCCCUUACGAACUACGUGUGAGAUCAUCGGAUCUCACGCCCUCACAUGAUCCGAUGUCGGAUUAGCUAGUUGGUGGGGUAAAGGCCUACCAAGGCGACGAUCCGUAACUGGUUUGAGAGGAUGAGCAGUCACACUGGAACUGAGACACGGUCCAGACUCCUACGGGAGGCAGCAGUGGGGAAUAUUGGACAAAGGGCGAAAGCCUGAUCCAGCCAUGCCGCGUGUGUGAAGAAGGUCUUCGGAUUGUAAAGCACUUUAAGUGGGAAAGAAGGGCAGUAAGUUAAUACCUCGCUGUUCUGACGGUACCAAAAGAAUAAGCACCGGCUAACUUCGUG